rnacentral:rRNA from 1 species
CGCCUGGGGAGUACGGCCGCAAGGUUAAAACUCAAAUGAAUUGACGGGGGCCCGCACAAGCGGUGGAGCAUGUGGUUUAAUUCGAUGCAACGCGAAGAACCUUACCUGGUCUUGACAUCCACAGAACUUUCCAGAGAUGGAUUGGUGCCUUCGGGAACUGUGAGACAGGUGCUGCAUGGCUGUCGUCAGCUCGUGUUGUGAAAUGUUGGGUUAAGUCCCGCAACGAGCGCAACCCUUAUCCUUUGUUGCCAGCGGUCCGGCCGGGAACUCAAAGGAGACUGCCAGUGAUAAACUGGAGGAAGGUGGGGAUGACGUCAAGUCAUCAUGGCCCUUACGACCAGGGCUACACACGUGCUACAAUGGCGCAUACAAAGAGAAGCGACCUCGCGAGAGCAAGCGGACCUCAUAAAGUGCGUCGUAGUCCGGAUUGGAGUCUGCAACUCGACUCCAUGAAGUCGGAAUCGCUAGUAAUCGUGGAUCAGAAUGCCACGGUGAAUACGUUCCCGGGCCUUGUACACACCGCCCGUCACACCAUGGGAGUGGGUUGCAAAAGAAGUAGGUAGCUUAACCUUCGGGAGGGCGCUUACCACUUUGUGAUUCAUGACUGGGGUGAAGUCGUAACAAGGUAACCGUAGGGGAACCUGCGGUUG